rnacentral:rRNA from 1 species
GUGGGGAAUAUUGGACAAUGGGCGAAAGCCUGAUCCAGCCAUGCCGCGUGUGUGAAGAAGGUCUUCGGAUUGUAAAGCACUUUAAGUUGGGAGGAAGGGCAGUAAGUUAAUACCUUGCUGUUUUGACGUUACCAACAGAAUAAGCACCGGCUAACUUCGUGCCAGCAGCCGCGGUAAUACGAAGGGUGCAAGCGUUAAUCGGAAUUACUGGGCGUAAAGCGCGCGUAGGUGGUUCAGCAAGUUGAAGGUGAAAUCCCCGGGCUCAACCCGGGAACUGCCUCCAAAACUACUGAGCUAGAGUACGGUAGAGGGUAGUGGAAUUUCCUGUGUAGCGGUGAAAUGCGUAGAUAUAGGAAGGAACACCAGUGGCGAAGGCGACUACCUGGACUGAUACUGACACUGAGGUGCGAAAGCGUGGGGAGCAAACAGGAUUAGAUACCCCUGUAGUCC